UUGACCCGUGUUCUUUGAUUCAGAAGAUAAGACCACUGUUUGAACUCGAACUAUGAAUGACGGAGUACCUUUGCCAAGAGCGGAAGGUUCCUCAGUUCUUUUUCAUUUCGAAAUGAAUUUUCAUUUCGUUAUUCAUCUUUUAUAUUUAUGUGGUCGAAGCACCACUACACCAGGUGGUAAUAAAUUGAGUGUAUCGUUCGCAGCAUUCAUUCCU
rnacentral:lncRNA from 1 species